CUCAGUGAUGAUAUACCUGAAUAGGAAGUGCCGUCUGAUGCGAAAACUGACGAUGUUUCAGGUUUAAUCUGAGC
ensembl:snoRNA